rnacentral:rRNA from 1 species
GAUGAACGCUGGCGGCGUGCUUAACACAUGCAAGUCGAACGGGAAACAUUUAUUGAAGCUUCGGCAGAUUUAGCUUGUUUCUAGUGGCGGACGGGUGAGUAACGCGUGGGUAACCUGCCUUAUACUGGGGGAUAACAGCCAGAAAUGACUGCUAAUACCGCAUAAGCGCACAGAACCGCAUGGUUCGGUGUGAAAAACUCCGGUGGUAUAAGAUGGACCCGCGUUGGAUUAGCUAGUUGGCAGGGCAGCGGCCUACCAAGGCGACGAUCCAUAGCCGGCCUGAGAGGGUGAACGGCCACAUUGGGACUGAGACACGGCCCAGACUCCUACGGGAGGCAGCAGUGGGGAAUAUUGCACAAUGGGGGAAACCCUGAUGCAGCGACGCCGCGUGAAGGAAGAAGUAUCUCGGUAUGUAAACUUCUAUCAGCAGGGAAGAUAA